UAUCUCUUCCUUUAGGUGUCAGCUGUGAAGAACUCACUGCAGUCAAGAAACAAGAGUCCAGUUUAGAAGACAGCACUGUUACUCUGUCCUACAAAUACUCCAGAAAAGCAACUGGUAGUGAUGAAUUUUACUGGUAUCGACAAUAUCCAGGAAAACCACCAGAGUUCCUCAUCUCUCACUUGGGAACAGGAACAUUAAUGUCUAACCCAGUCUCUAGACUGUCAGUUACAGUGAGUGAGGAUAAAACCCAAAUGGAUCUGCAGAUCUCCUCUGCUGCAGUGACAGACUCUGCUCUGUACUACUGUGCUGUGAGGCCCACAGUGACAGCAAACCCACAGUCUCUGUACAAAAACACAAGCUGACACACUGACAAGCUGCUGGAAGCCUUUUUUCCACACUGUUGGACUCAACUUUUUAGCUCCACUAGAGGGCGACAUUAUCAAGUAGGCGGUGCACUACUUCUGCACUGUGUUCAACCAUUCUGUCAAUAAUAACUGCUGCUGUGAAGAGAACAAUUGUCACACUGAAUGUUGAACAUCAGCUAGUUUCUCCUGUUGAUUUAAACCUUGUUGUAGAGAUGGAACAUUGGCUGUGGAUUAUUCUUGCUGCUCUUUUCUUUGGACUAAUAGCUGGAGACACAAUCUCUCCUGUAGGAGAUAAAGUCAGUGGAAGAGAAGGAGAAUCUGUCACACUCAGAUGUCUUUAUCAGACAACUAACAACAACAUUUGGCUUUACUGGUACAGACACUCUGACCUUCAGUCACCGCAGUUUAUACUCUGGAAAGGAGAGAGAUCCCAGAGUGGUAAGAAGUAUAUUCCAGAUAAACGAUAUGAAUCUGAAACAACAGAUUCAUCAACUGAACUGACCAUCAGAAAACUAACCCUGGCAGACACAGCUCUCUACUACUGUGCUCUAGAAACACAGUGAUACAAAGUGUAGAAGAGGCUGUACAAAAACCUGAACACAGAUAUCUGACUACUCUUCAAAGAGGAGGGAAGUGGUAUUCAAACCACAGCUUCAUAUCAGAUGGAUUCUGCUAAUUCCUGUUUUAUCAGAGUCACUGUGGUUACAGCUGCUAAUGAAACACUGUGGGAGGAUUCACAUGAGCAGCAAAUCCACAUCAAUGACAAACCAACUGGAUGAUGCUUCAAACACAAGACACCAUGGAAACAAAUAAAUCAACACUGAAAAUUAAAAUGAGUAAUAUGUGACAUCUGAACAACAACGUGUCUAACAUUCAAUCUUUUAGUUAAAUAAAUAGAUUUGUGACCUGAUUUAUGUAUCUGAAGUGCAUUUAUCAUACAUUGUUUUAUUCUUUUCUAUUUAUUUCCCAACAUUUACCAGGUCAGACUGGGUCCGGUAUUUUAUAGCUCAAAUAUUCAGUCAUAUACUGAGCUUACUGAGCUGAUCUGUUACCAGCUGGACUGGGUACAGUCUGCAUUUUUCUGGGCAGAAGUCCACCUUUACAGUUUCUGGUCUUUAACAUUUUUAUUCAGUUUUGGUUGAACUGCAGUAAAUGAUGGACUGUUAACUGGAAAUCAUAUAAGACAGGGCUGUGAAUGAGGCCUGUCAGUGUGAUCAUUUCAAUUUCAAUUCAGUUUUAUAUUAAGUUAGUAAGUGUGUAAUUAUAUUUACUGUUAUAUUUA
rnacentral:lncRNA from 15 species